rnacentral:lncRNA from 1 species
GUCUGGUGUUGAGGAUUUUAAUACUGUCACUGAGAUGUGAGGUCAGGGUCAAAACUGGUAAUCAUUUAGGAUCCGAGACAGUGGUCGUCAUGGCCGGAAAGUAGUCAGGGUCCAGGAUUCCGCAAACAUAGAUGUCAACAGCGUAGUACUCGGUGGUCAGAGGUCAUGGUGAUGGUGGUUAGAUUCCCGCCGACCCAAAGGUUUUACUGCAAUGGUGUGGAAUUAGUGUGAUUCGGAUGCAAGACUGGAAAUCUGCCUAAUCAGUGAACUUUGAACUCCCCUCAUAGUGGAUGCUGAGAUCGUCUCCAUCGACACUUUCAACAAGUCACCCCCAAAACGGGGCCUGGUUGUGGGCAUCACUUUUAUAAAGCGUCCUCUGGCUUGAUGUCCACAACCUCCCAGGCUCAUCCCAGC